ensembl:lncRNA
ACACUCAUAGCUCAGCACCAUAGCUGUAAGCUGUUUAUGUGGCACUCUGUCAGGCAUUUACUGGAUGCACUGCUUCUGGGUUUGGAGGAAAAGGUCCUUGAGUACUGACCAGCUUUCUUGGACCCUUCCUCCUGCCAGGGCUUUCUCCCAUGUCAUCCUGCCAAGCAGCUCCCUGUAGAGUUCAAAGUCAGCUCUCCUGAAGUCCAGAGUAGCAAGCUACGUGACACCAUCUUGGACUGACAAACCUUCACUUUGAACCUCAAGAAGUGGUAGACAAGACACCAGGAAGCUUCUACCAUUGAGUCAUCUUCAUCUUUAUUCCGAAAGACUUGUGUAUGUCAAAAAUUUGGAGGAUGAAACGAAACGAAAGGAUUAAGUCAAGACACAGUCUUAAUUUAAUACAAAGAUUUCACUAUAAAGUUCUCUUUAAAUACCAAAAACAAUGAACAUGAUUUUACUUCUUGUUUAUUUGAAGAAAGUGAUUGGUGUCUACUUUGUUUGUAUUUUGGGAAAAAUACUCAUUGAAUGUUUGUACUUAACUUCCUUCUCUCAGAUUCACUUAGCUGUUACAGAAAUAGCUUAUGUUUAUCUCCCUGAAGAUUCAUAGAGUUUGCUUAAAUCACCGAGGAUAGGCAAUUAAAGAGGCUAAUUGUAUUGCUGAAAACAAUAAUUAGGCUUUUUCUGUUUUCUUUGCUUACUGUUUCUUGUUUUGGUCCUUUUGUUGUUGCCAGAGGUGAACAGCAGAGCAGUCAAGCUGUGAAUUGCUGGAGUGUUUUAACAUCUACCUGAUAAGACAUAUUCUAUUUUAUCAGCUUGCUAUUUGAAUAGAUGCCAUAUGAUUUCCAUAUCUCAUCAUUGAAGUCUCAUAAUUUGUACAGGAUAAAAAUGAAACCAUGGCAAGGUUCUCAACGAUUUGACAAUAAACGUGAUUAACUUUGGUCUGUAUGUGAAACACUAAAGAAAAUGAUGCCAGUAGUAGGGCAGGGGAAGAUGAAGUGCUCUCUGAGUUAAUAGCUUCAGUAAGUAUUAUGUGUAUAUCAAUGUCUGCUGACCCAAGGUGUUAAAUGAAAACAUGUUUUCACCAAUUAAUAUAGACUAUUGUUCUACAAAUGAGUCUGUCCUGAAGUAUCACCCUGGAAAUACAUAUUUUUAACUUUGUGGGGAUAGUUCAUAUUCAUGUUUAAAGGACAUUAGUUCUCUAUGGAGUAUUAUCCUCCAGGAUAGCCCUAAAUUUUAGAAACAGAUAAAUGGAAAUUACAUUCAGCUGUACAUAUUAAUUUCAGUGUAUUGACUUUGAAGGAGCAUCUAACUUUAAGGCUUCAAUUUAAAAUGUCAUCCCAUCAGGAAUGUAACUAAAGCACACAAAAUUAGGAAAUCAGAAUAACUUUCCAAAAAAUUUUCUAGAGAACAUGAAGUGUGGCAUAAAGUGAGAUCAUACACUAUCAUAAUCUGUAUUUUGUUGCUUUUGUAUUCAAAAGUCUUCCUCUCAGGGUGAAAAUAAA